GGUGCUGCUUUUAAGAGUGCCACGUUCUCACAGUUUCAGUAAAGCGCACGGCAAUAAACACUCACUUACACGUCGUUGUUUAGAAUCUGAUGAUCGAAAAACGCAAAGUGAAAACCUGUUUCAGCGUCAAUAUUUUCCGUUGCAUCGAGUGGGAGUUGCGUGUAUUUAAGCUCCCGCGGCAUAACACCUCCAUCCGGGUUACGGGUCGUGGAAUUUCCGCUUACGCAACAUCCGGUAACACGUAAUAUCGUAGUCAAAAUGUUAAUGCAUAGGUUUUUAUUCCGGGUGAAGGAUAUUCCUUUCUAUAGAAUUCCGGGGAUGGGAAUAUUUACUGUACAAGCCUCAAAAAACAUCAUCAUCAUCAAGAUUACAGUGGUGCGCUAAAAAAAAAAAAAGCUACAUUGGAGCUAUUAAAGCGAGAGCUAAAUUGGAAGACAAGAUCCCAAAUCAAGGCGAGACAAGUGAGACGGGACAAAAAAAAAGAAAAAUAAUACAUGGGGGCCGAGAGCCACUCUGCAUCAAUGAUAUUUGUGGAACAUAUAUUUAAAGAGAAUGAGAAGAUCUGAGAGAGAGAGAGAGAGAGAGACAGAGAGAGAGAGAGAGAGAGAGAGAGGAAGAGGGAGAGGGUGAGGGAGAGGGAGAGAGAUGGAGAUAGAGACGUGCCUGUACAACACAGCACAGGAAGCUACUACUAACAUGGUGAGGAGAGGCCUUUCCGUGGCUCUACAAACCUCUGACGAGCUGGGCAGACAGAAUUAAGAACCUGAUGUCGCACAAGUCCCGGUCUCCAAAAGGAGGAGAGAGCAGCUGGAGGCACCAUGGGAAAGUUGAAAAAAAAAGUCUGAUUCAUAAAGGCGAGCGAACAACUGAAAUCGUUUCAAGUCUGAUUGUCCAACCAGAAGCCAAAAGAUGACGGUGGUGGACAGAAAGGUCGUGCAUCUGGACGUGGUGGGAUGAAUCGAUGUGGUGACAAACUGGUGGAAAGCCAAAAACCAUCCUCUCCACAGCUGCACUUUCGUUCAUUGUUCAAUUUGCACUUUUGUUCAUAGUUCAAUGGUUUUGUUGUGUGCAAAUAA